CCAUCCCGUCCAUUCUUAUAUAAACCAUAGCAAAGAUCCUUUAUAACAAACUAAAUCCUUUUCCUUAACUCACAGAACUCGACACCACCACAACAUCAUUUCCUACCACCCACACACUCGCCGAAAUCUUGCCGGAGAUGUGAAGCCGCCGCCAGAACACAUCGAGCAUUCACAUCUCAUGUUCGAUACUCAAGCCUUGUAAUCGUCACCGUCACUCAACCAUAAUCCUUCUCUGUUCGUCUACCCCGCCUCCUCGCAAACCCGCAACGGAUAUCACCUCGCAACACGCCGGAGAACGGAGAAGAUGACUGGAAACCCACGGCGUUCCUUUACGUGUUCAUGUGUUCUACAUCGGAGACCUCGCCAGAACCGGGUUCGCGUCGGGCUUAACUGUUGGCCACGUUUCACGUCUGUCUCUUUUCCACCCAAUAAACGCUACACCUAAAAGAUGAAGCCGAGGCCGGAACUUGUAUCGUCACCGGGGACUCACUCGUCUUGCGUUAGGAUAAUCGCUUUGCUCGUUCUCUUGGAUUUUCUUAAAUCUUUACUCGUGCGAUAAUUCAAGGGAUUCUCAUACGCAAUCAAAGUUGAUAGACGCAGUGAUCAAGAAAACAAGCUAGGAUGAACCUAGAAACCUAUCUAGAAUAAGCAAUGUCUUGAAUUAUUUUUGAUAAAAUUUUGUUAUGUUUGAAUCUUGUAUGACAUUUUAGUUAUUUAUGAAAUUUGAAUUUAAACUAUAUUGUCACAA